rnacentral:rRNA from 1 species
GCCUACGGCCAUACCACCCUGAACACGCCCGAUCUCGUCUGAUCUCGGAAGCUAAGCAGGGUCGGGACUGGUUAGUACUUGGAUGGGAGACCGCCUGGGAAUACCAGGUGUUGUAGGCU